UNUACUGACCCAAAUAUGCCUUUAUGGUGU
rnacentral:piRNA from 1 species